rnacentral:rRNA from 1 species
GUUGGCGGCCAAAGCGGAGAGGGUAGACCCGUACCCAUCUCGAACACGGAAGUGAAUCUCUCCAGCGAUAUGAAGAGUACUCGACACUGAAUCGACGCACAUUCGUGCGUCAUGUGGGUUCCGGGAAAUUCAUGACGUUGCUGACC